UACGUAGGGCGCAAGCGUUGUCCGGAAUUAUUGGGCGUAAAGAGCUCGUAGGCGGUCUGUCGCGUCUGUUGUGAAAAACUCGAGGCUCAACCUCGGGCUUGCAGUGGAUACGGGGCAGACUAGAGUGCGGUAGGGGGAGACUGGAAUUCCUGGUGUAGCGGUGGAAUGCGCAGAUAUCAGGAGGAACACCGGUGGCGAAG
rnacentral:rRNA from 1 species